ACGGAAGGCAGCAGUGAGGAAUAUUGGCCAAUGGACGCAAGUCUGAACCAGCCAUGCCGCGUGCAGGAAUAAGGCCCUAUGGGUCGUAAACUGCUUUUGUGGUGGAGCAAUAAGUCGUACGUGUACGGCGAUGAGAGUACAUCACGAAUAAGCAUCGGCUAACUCCGUGCCAGCAGCCGCGGUAAUACGGAGGAUGCAAGCGUUAUCCGGAUUUAUUGGGUUUAAAGGGUGCGUAGGCUGUGGUCCAAGUCAGGGGUGAAAGCCCGGAGCUCAACUCCGGAACUGCCUUUGAUACUGGAUUGCUGGAAUACGGAUGCCGUGGGAGGAAUGAGUAGUGUAGCGGUGAAAUGCAUAGAUAUUACUCAGAACACCGAUUGCGAAGGCAUCUCACGAAUCCGUCAUUGACGCUGAGGCACGAAAGCGUGGGGAUCAAACAGGAUUAGAUACCCUGGUA
rnacentral:rRNA from 1 species